CUGUCCUGAAACUGUCUGCAAGCAGUAAUUUUUCUAUAGUUGUCCUUCCUUUAAUCAAAUGCAUUACAAUGUUUCAAGAUGUAGCAUAGUUUUCUUAUUAUGUUGAUGUUCUAAUAUGGUUCGAUGGAUGUUCUCAAAAUCAAAGGGGCGCUUUGUGAUGGAUGGACUCAUUCAUCUUUCAUUAAUUCAUGUACGUUGUAAUAAUAAUUUGCUUCAUUUGAUUCAUUUUAUGUAGAAGUUAUUCUUACAUUUUGGAGAAACACUUUAAACCAGUUUUAUUCACAAGAAUAUAGGUCUUUUAGAAAAAGGUUGCUGUUUUGUAGUGCUGUAUAGCACUACAGGAUGAUGUGCUGUAUAGCCUCUGGCAGAGGGCAAGAAGGUUUUGUAGAAUUACCCAUAAGGAGGAUUUGUGCUACAGGUUGUUUUUGCGAUCCACGUUCAGUCAAAAUGGGUGAGAUACUUUUUCUCCUGUGAUUAAUAAUAGUGACAUUUUUGGUAGUGAUUGAAAGGGAAGAGAACAUACUUCCACAUGAGAUUUACUCUUGCAGUUGUAGUAGAUAGUGGUUCUGUAACCUACCUAUCUAAGGCAGAAAUUCUUCACUCUGAGGGUGGUGAGGCACUGGCACAGGCUGCCCAGAGAAGCUGUGGAUGCCCCAUCCCUGGAGAUGUUCAAGGCCAGGCUGGAUGGGGCCGUGGAGAAGCUGGUCUGGUGGGAGGUGUCCCUGACCAUGGAAAGGGGGGUUAGAACUGGGUGUUCUUUAAGGUCCCUUCCAACCCAAGCCGUUCUAUGAUUCAAUCUGUAGAAAAGUAUAAAUUUCAGUUAGAGGAAAUAUAACAGGUGGUGUUCCAUAAUUCAUGCAAAUCUAGCUUUAAAGAGGGAAAAAAAAAAAAAAUCUUAAUUCAGGAAUACCUGAAUUGUGCUUCUGUAGUAGACUUGUUAGAGAGAACUGGUUCUUACGAAGGCUUCAACGUAGUUUAAGUCUUCAGUGGUAGUGCCUCUUUUGUUAGCACUACUGUAAAUUCAUAUUUAUUUUCGUAACUUGUAGUCAACUUUGUUCUCAGAAAUAAUGGUGAAAAGCUCUCACAGAAAAGUGAAGGAGUAAAAAGAACAGAGUCAUUUGACAUCAAAUGCCCAUUUUCAUACAAUUCAGAUGCUGGACUUCAAAACUACUGUUCCACCAUCAAUCUUUGUCACAUACGGGCAUCUUUGGAAUCCCUUGACUUUGCUUUUUAUACAGGCUUGUUUUCCAUUAAAAGACAAAGCAAUUUUGCCAGGGCAUACUUUUUUUCACAUAAGAUUUCAUAAUCUGAACUUCUUUAUAUCAGUUUCACUUGGGGACUCAUUUGUACUGCUUCUGACUUCACUGUGUUGAGCUUCCUGUUGGCAUUACAAGUUUAUAACCUUUCCUCUGCCUUCUGACCCCACUUUUUUUUUUUUUUAAUGUUCUCUGUCUAAUGACUGCUACUGACUGAAUGGCCAUUGCCAGACACAGGAUAUUGGCAGAGCUGUUCCUUCAGUCUGACCCAGAAUAACUUCUCUUUUUUUUUGUCAUGGAAGUUACAAGAGUUGGAAUCCUGACUAAUCGUGAAUCCCCUUUCCUUCAGAAGGUUAAGGAGCUCGUCUUGCAUAUGUCUGUACCUAGUAUAUGUAUUUAGUAUGUUGUCAGCUUCAAGGGAUUAUAAAGAACAUAAUUUCUUUAGCAUUAUAGCUCUAAUAUGGAUGUAUUCUGAAAAUUGUCUUUUUUCCAGGAAGGGGAAUAUUUGCCUGCAUAUUUCAUUCCAAGUAUAUAAUCAAGUUGCAGAAAUGAUAAGCAUUUUCUUAGGUGUUUCUGCAAACUGUUUGCCAGAUGAGUGGAUCAACACAACACUGAAGCUAAAAAUAAAAUCAAAUGAGAAAAUGACAAUUUGAAUUUGUGUUUUUAUGUCACGGAGUAUCCAAAAGAAGUCCUUAUUCAUAUUGCAACCAUAUAACAUGAUAUCACAAAAUAGAGACUCAUUGCCUUCUAAUGAUAAUAGUGAUGUUAAAUGCUACAUCCAAGUGGAAAGUGCCAGAUUCACAGUGUAAGUCUCAGGGAUGGGCUGGAUGGAUCUAUUGUUAAGUUAAAGUCACUGGUCUUCUCUGCUUCAGAUAUGCCAAAAUUUCAGACUGAGUAAUGCCGGUUUUGGUGGGUUGACUUCUGUUGAAUAACAUCAUAAAGUAUUUAAUCAGUUUUUAGAAAUACUCAUUAAAUACCUAGACCUGCACUGUCUGUUUCCAGGAAUAACUUGAAGACUCAAAAGAACAGGGGAACGGAAUGGUAAAUGCGUAGAACAUUGAGCUGUGUGGAAGAGUUAUUCUAGUAGCAUUGCAGCACCUUAUCUACCCCUACCAUCACACACACGCUUCCACAAACACAUUGCUUACAAGCGAAAAAAAUAAGGGUGUCUCCACUCCGUAAGACACUGAUGACACAUCUUAAUUUUGAAACAGUCUGAUACAGUUUUGUUUCUGUAGGGAAAAAAAUAAUCCUUUAGAAUUUAAUCUGAUGGUUUUUUGAUUACUAGGAAGAGUAUAUCCCUUACAUCAAAGUUAACCAUACAUGCUUGAUUAUCAAAUCUUUUUUUUUGUUAGAAAACGUUCGUUUCAGUAGCUACCUAUUUGAUUCAGGGUCAUAAGAAAACCAUAGUAUUGUAUUUUACUAUAUUGAAUCUAUAACUAAAUUUAAACUUGCCUUCUUUCCCCACGUGUAAACUGAUCUUUGUCCCUGCUCUGCUGUGAGGCCCCAGCAGAUACCAUGGGACACUGCUCGGGCAUGGAGACAGUCUGCAGAGAGUGGAUAGCUGGAGAGAUCUAUGUUUUAGAAAGGAGAAGUAUUGAAAGUUUCAUAAUGUCUUACAACCUUUGGGAUAUACAGAUGAUAAAUCUUUCCAAGACAUGUUGUAUAUUUAAACAAAACCACCUCCCUUUAGCCCUCUAUAAGCUGGCUUCAUUUGCCAGUGAAGUUUGUUGGUAGCAAGGUUCCAUGGUGUUUGGGAUUCCACAGUGGAGUUAAAGCCAUCGAGUCUGAACUCUGUGUUGGGGAAAGAAGGUAAGUUUAGAGCAAUUUAUGUAAUGCACACCACUCUUGUCCAUGUUUUUCAGUGGAUACAAUGUCUAAAAAAUAGUUUGAUUCAUCACUAAAAUUGUAUGGAUGGAAGUAAAAUUGUUGGAGUAUGUGUAUAUGGGGAUUUUUUUUAAGUUUAUCCAUACAUCAUUGUAAUAUAAGUCCAGAUUCUCUAGUUUGAUAACUCUUCAGAAAAAAAAAAUCA